rnacentral:rRNA from 1 species
GGGUGUAGACCCGAAACCAAGUGAUCUACCCAUGGUCAGGUUGAAGCUUCGGUAAUACGAAGUGGAGGACCGAACCCGUUGACGUUGAAAAGUCUUGGGAUGAGCUGUGGGUAGGGGUGAAAGGCCAAUCAAACUCCGUGAUAGCUGGUUCUCCCCGAAAUGCAUUUAGGUGCAGCCUCGGGAUUUAGUAUCGUAGAGGUAGAGCUACUGAUUGGGCUAGGGGGCUUCACCGCCUACCAAACCCUGAUAAACUCCGAAUGCUACGAUAUAUACCCGGGAGUGAGGGCAUGGGUGCUAAGGUCCAUGUCCGAGAGGGAAAGAACCCAGACUAUCUGCUAAGGUCCCAAAGUGUAUGCUAAGUUGAUCAAACGUGGUGCGGUUGCACAGACAGCUAGGAUGUUGGCUUGGAAGCAGCCAUUCAUUUAAAGAGUGCGUAACAGCUCACUAGUCGAGCGGUCGAGCGUGGAUAAUAAUCGGGCAUAAGCAUGAUACCGAAGCUAUGGAUUUAUGGUAGGGGAGCAUUCCAGCCGCGUUGAAGGUGCAUCGUGAGAUGUGCUGGAGCAUCUGGAAAAGAAAAUGUAGGCAUAAGUAACGAUAAUUAAGGCGAAAAACCUUAACACCGUAAGACUAAGGUUUCCUGAUCAAUGCUAAUCAGAUCAGGGUUAGUCGGGACCUAAGGCGUACCCGUUUGGGGAAGUCGAUGGAUAACAGGUUAAUAUUCCUGUACU